rnacentral:rRNA from 1 species
UACAGAGGUCUCAAGCGUUGUCCGGAUUUAUUGGGCGUAAAGAGCUCGUAGGCGGCUUGUCGCGUCGUCCGUGAAAACCCACAGCUCAACUGUGGGCUUGCGGUCGAUACGGGCAGGCUCGAGUUCGGUAGGGGAGACUGGAAUUCCUGGUGUAGCGGUGAAAUGCGCAGAUAUCAGGAGGAACACCGGUGGCGAAGGCGGGUCUCUGGGCCGAAAUUGACGCUGAGGAGCGAAAGCGUGGGGAGCAAACAGG